rnacentral:rRNA from 1 species
ACCUGGUCGAUUCUGCCGGACCCGACUGCUAUCAGAGUGGGCUUAAGCCAUGCGAGUCAACGUAGUAAUACGUGGCAUACGGCUCAGUAACACGUAGUCAACAUGCCCAAGGGAUGUGAAUAACCUCGGGAAACUGAGGAUAAAUCGCAAUAGGCCAUGAAUACUGGAAUGGUUCAUGACCGAAAUCUAUAUGGCCCUUGGAUUGGACUGCGGCCGAUCAGGCUGUUGGUGAGGUAAUGGCCCACCAAACCUAUAACCGGUACGGGCUCUGAGAGGAGGAGCCCGGAGAUGGGCACUGAGACAAGGGCCCAGGUCCUAUGGGGCGCAGCAGGCGCGAAACCUCUGCAAUAGGCGAAAGCCUGACAGGGUUACUCUGAGUGGUUUCCGAUAAGGAGAUCUUUUGGCACCCCUAAAAAUGGUGCAGAAUAAGGGGUGGGCAAGUCUGGUGUCAGCCGCCGCGGUAAUACCAGCACCCCGAGUGGUCGGGACGAUUAUUGGGCCUAAAGCAUCCGUAGCCGGUCCAGCAAGUCCUCCGUUAAAUCCACCUGCUUAACAGAUGGGCUGCGGGGGAUACUACUGGGCUAGGAGGCGGGAGAGGCAAGCGGUACUCAGUGGGUAGGGGUAAAAUCCUCUGAUCCACUGAAGACCACCAGUGGCGAAGGCGGCUUGCCAGAACGCGCUCGACGGUGAGGGAUGAAAGCUGGGGGAGCAAACCGGAUUAGAUACCCGGGUAGUCCCAGCCGUAAACGAUGCAGACUCGGUGAUGGGCUGACUUUAUGUCAGCCCAGUGCCGCAGGGAAGCCGUUAAGUCUGCCGCCUGGGGAGUACGGUCGCAAGACUGAAACUUAAAGGAAUUGGCGGGGGAGCACCACAAGGGGUGAAGCCUGCGGUUCAAUUGGAGUCAACGCCGGA